CAGUAGCCACGGGAAUACGUAGGUGGCAAGCGUUAUCCGGAAUUAUUGGGCGUAACGCGCGCGUAGGUGGUUUUUUAAGUCUGAUGUGAAAGCCCACGGCUCAACCGUGGAGGGUCAUUGGAAACUGGAAAACUUGAGUGCAGAAGAGGAAAGUGGAAUUCCAUGUGUAGCGGUGAAAUGCGCAGAGAUAUGGAGGAACACCAGUGGCGAAGGCGACUUUCUGGUCUGUAACUGACGCUGAUGUGCGAAAGCGUGGGGAUCAAACAGGAUUAGAUACCCCCGUAGUCCCUGUCUCUUAUAC
rnacentral:rRNA from 1 species